CCCCAGGUGAAAGUGCCUGCUCUGUCUAUUGGUCUUCCAUUCUUUUUGUAUUUUUCAGUGUUGAUUUCCCCCGGGUCUCCACUCCAUUGUGGGUUUUGUUUUUUGUUUUUUGUUUUUUUUUUUUUUUGCUUAAAGAUUGUCACCUGAGCUAGGCACUGUUGCGCUGCUUCCUCAGUUUCAGAGGGUACCUUUUUCAGGGUUGCUUUUUGACCGGGUCUCCUCGCCAUUGUAUUUUUUUAUUUUUUAUUUUUUUGCUUAAAGAUUGCCACCUGAGCUAGCCUCUGUUGCCCAUCUUCUUCGGUUUCAGAGGGUAGAUUUCUCAGUGUUGCUUUUUCGCCAGCUCUCCACGCCCUUGUGUGUUUCUUUUGCUUAAAGUUUGCCACCUGAAGCCAGCCUCUCUUGCCCAUCUUCCUCAGUUUCAGAGGGUAGAUAUUUCAGGGUUGCUUUUUCCCCAGGUCUCCACGCCUUUGGGUUUUGUUUUUGCUUAACGAUUGCCACCUGACCUAGCCUCUGUUGCCCAUCUUCGUCGGUUUCAGAGGGUGGAUUUCUCCCUGUUGCUUUUUCGCCAGCUCUCCACGCCCUUGCGUCUUUUUUUUUUUCUGCUUAAAGGUUGCAACCUGAGCUAGCUUCUUUUGCCCAUGUUCGUCAGUUUCAGAGGGUGGAUUUCUGCGUGUUGCUUUUUCCCCAGGUCUCCACGCCCUUGUGUGUUUCUUUUGCUUAACGAUUGCCACCUGAGCUAGCCUCUGUUGCCCAUCCUCGUCAGUUUCAGAGGGUAGAUUUCUCAGUGCUGCUUUUUCCCCAGGUCUCCACGCCCUUGUGUGUUUCUUUUGCUUAAAGUUUGCCACCUGAAGCCAGCCUCUCUUGCCCAUCUUCCUCAGUUUCAGAGGGUAGAUAUUUCAGGGUUGCUUUUUCCCCAGAUGUCCACGCCUUUGUGAUUUGUUUUUGCUUAAAGAUUGCCACCUGACAUAGCCUCUCUUGCCCAUCUUCCUCAGUUUCAGAGGGUGGAUUUCUCCGUGUUGCUUGUUCCCCAGGUCUCCACGCCCUUGUGUGUUUCUUUUGCUUAAAGAUUGCCACCUGAGCUAGCCUCUGUUGCCCAUCUUCGUCCGUUUCAGAGGGUGGAUUUCUCAGUGUUGCCUUUUCGCCACCUCCCCACGCCCUUGUGUGUUUCUUUUGCUUAAAGAUUGUCACCUGAGCUAGGCACUGUUGCCCUGCUUCCUCAGUUUCAGAAGGUACCUUUUUCAGGGUUGCUUUUUGACCGGGUCUCCUCGCCAUUGCAUUUUUUUAUUUUAUUUUUUUUGCUUAAAGAUUGCCACCUGAGCUAGCCUCUCUUGCCCAUCUUCCUCAGUUUCAGAGGGUGGAUUUCUCAGUGUUGCUUUUUCGCCAGCUCUCCACGCCCUUGCGUCUUUUUUUUUUUCUGCUUAAAGUUUGCAACCUGAGCUAGCUUCUUUUGCCCAUGUUCGUCAGUUUCAGAGGGUGGAUUUCUCCGUGUUGCUUUUUCCCCAGGUCUCCACGCCCUUGUGUGUUUCUUUUGCUUAACGAUUGCCACCUGAGGUAGCCUCUGUUGCCCAUCCUUCUUCAGUUUCAGAGGGUAGAUUUCUCAGUGCUUGCCUUUUCCCCAGGUUCUCCACGCCCUUGUGUGUUUCUUUUGCUUAAAGUUUGCCACCUGAAGCCAGCCUCUCUUGCCCAUCUUCCUCAGUUUCAGAGGGUAGAUAUUUCAGGGUUGCUUUUUCCCCAGGUCUCCACGCCUUUGGGUUUUGUUUUUGCUUAACGAUUGCCACCUGAGCUAGCCUCUCUUGCCCAUCUUCCUCAGUUUCAGAGGGUGGAUUUCUCCGUGUUGCUUUUUCCCCAGGUCUCCACGCCCUUGUGUGUUUCUUUUGCUUAAAGAUUGUCACCUGAGCUAGGCAUUGUUGCCCUGCUUCCUCAGUUUCAGAGGGUACCUUUUUCAGGGUUGCUUUUUGACCGGGUCUCCUCGCCAUUGUAUUUUUUUAUUUUAUUUUUUUUGCUUAAAGAUUGCCACCUGAGCUAGCCUCUGUUGCCCAUCUUCUUCAUUUUCAGAGGGUGGAUUUCUCAGUGUUGCUUUUUCGCCAGCUCUCCACGCCCUUGCGUCUUUUUUUUUUUCUGCUUAAAGGUUGCAACCUGAGCUAGCUUCUCUUGCCCAUGUUCCUCAGUUUCAGAGGGUGGAUUUCUCCGUGUUGCUUUUUCCCCAGGUCUCCACGCCCUUGUGUGUUUCUUUUGCUUAACGAUUGCCACCUGAGGUAGCCUCUGUUGCCCAUCCUCGUCAGUUUCAGAGGGUAGAUUUCUCAGUGCUGCUUUUUCCCCAGGUCUCCACGCCCUUGUGUGUUUCUUUUGCUUAAAUUUUGCCACCUGAAGCCAGCCUCUCUUGCCCAUCUUCCUCAGUUUCAGAGGGUAGAUAUUUCAGGGUUGCUUUUUCCCCAGGUCUCCACGCCUUUGGGUUUUGUUUUUGCUUAACGAUUGCCACCUGAGCUAGCCUCUCUUGCCCAUCUUCCUCAGUUUCAGAGGGUGGAUUUCUCCGUGUUGCUUUUUCCCCAGGUCUCCACGCCCUUGUGUGUUUCUUUUGCUUAACGAUUGCCACCUGAGGUAGCCUCUGUUGCCCAUCCUCGUCAGUUUCAGAGGGUAGAUUUCUCAGUGCUGCUUUUUCCCCAGGUCUCCACGCCCUUGUGUGUUUCUUUUGCUUAAAGUUUGCCACCUGAAGCCAGCCUCUCUUGCCCAUCUUCCUCAGUUUCAGAGGGUAGAUAUUUCAGGGUUGCUUUUUCCCCAGGUCUCCACGCCUUUGUGUUUUGUUUUUGCUUAACGAUUGCCACCUGAGGUAGCCUCUGUUGCCCAUCUUCCUCAGUUUCAGAGGGUGGAUUUCUCCGUGUUGCUUUUUCCCCAGGUCUCCACGCCCUUGUGUGUUUCUUUUGCUUAAAGAUUGCCACCUGAGCUAGCCUCUGUUGCCCAUCUUCCUCAGUUUCAGAGGGUAGAUUUUUCAGGGUUGCUUUUUCCCGGGUCUCCUCGCCAUUGUAUUUUUUAUUUUUAUUUUUUGCUUAAAGAAUGCCACCUGAGCUAGCUUCUUUUGCCCAUGUUCCUCAGUUUCAGAGGGUGGAUUUCUCCGUGUUGCUUUUUCCCCAGGCCUCCACGCCCUUGUGUGUUUCUUUUGCUUAACGAUUGCCACCUGAGCUAGCCUCUGUUGCCCAUCUUCGUCCGUUUCAGAGGGUGGAUUUCUCAGUGUUGCCUUUUCGCCAGCUCCCCACGCCCUUGUGUCUUUUUUUUUUGCUUAAAGGUUGCAACCUGAGCUAGCUUCUUUUGCCCAUGUUCCUCAGUUUCAGAGGGUGGAUUUCUCCGUGUUGCUUUUUCCCCAGGUCUCCACACCCUUGUGUGUUUCUUUUGCUUAACGAUUGCCACCUGAGGUAGCCUCUGUUGCCCAUCUUCCUCAGUUUCAGAGGGUGGAUUUCUCAGUGUUGCUUUUCCCCAGGUCUCCACGCCCUUGUGUGUUUCUUUUGUUUAAAGUUUGCCACCUGAAGCCAGCCUCUCUUGCCCAUCUUCCUCAGUUUCAGAGGGUAGAUAUUUCAGGGUUGCUUUUUCCCCAGGUCUCCACGCCUUUGGGUUUUGUUUUUGCUUAACGAUUGCCACCUGAGCUAGCCUCUGUUGCCCAUCUUCCUCAGUUUCAGAGGGUGGAUUUCUCCGUGUUGCUUUUUCCCCAGGUCUCCACGCCCUUGUGUGUUUCUUUUGCUUAAAGAUUGCCACCUGAGCUAGCCUCUGUUGCCCAUCUUCCUCAGUUUCAGAGGGUACCUUUUUCAGGGUUGCUUUUUGACCGGGUCUCCUCGCCAUUGUAUUUUUUUAUUUUAUUUUUUUUGCUUAAAGAUUGCCACCUGAGCUAGCCUCUGUUGCCCAUCUUCGUCAGUUUCAGAGGGUGGAUUUCUCCGUGUUGCUUUUUCCCCAGGUCUCCACACCCUUGUGUGUUUCUUUGGCUUAACGAUUGCCACCUGAGGUAGCCUCUGUUGCCCAUCUUCCUCAGUUUCAGAGGGUGGAUUUCUGAAUGUUGCUUUUUCCCCAGGUCUCCACGCCCUUGUGUGUUUCUUUUGCUUAAAGAUUGCCACCUGAAGCCAGCCUCUCUUGCCCAUCUUCCUCAGUUUCAGAGGGUAGAUAUUUCAGGGUUGCUUUUUCCCCAGGUCUCCACGCCUUUGGGUUUUGUUUUUGCUUAACGAUUGCCACCUGAGCUAGCCUCUCUUGCCCAUCUUCCUCAGUUUCAGAGGGUGGAUUUCUCCGUGUUGCUUUUUCCCCAGGUCUCCACGCCCUUGUGUGUUUCUUUUGCUUAAAGUUUGCCACCUGAAGCCAGCCUCUCUUGCCCAUCUUCCUCAGUUUCAGAGGGUAGAUAUUUCAGGGUUGCUUUUUCCCCAGGUCUCCACGCCUUUGUGUUUUGUUUUUGCUUAACGAUUGCCACCUGAGCUAGCCUCUCUUGCCCAUGUUCCUCAGUUUCAGAGGGUUGGAUUUCUCCGUGUUGCUUUUCCCCAGGUCUCCACGCCCUUGUGUGUUUCUUUUGCUUAAAGAUUGCCACCUGAGCCAGCCUCUCUUGCCCAUCUUCCUCAGUUUCAGAGGGUGGAUUUCAGGGUUGCUUUUUUGCCAGGUCUGCACGCCCUUGUGUUUUGUUUUUGCUUAACUAUUGCCACCUGAGCUAGCCUCUGUUGCCCAUCUUCCUCAGUUUCAGAGGGUGGAUUUCUCAGUGUUGCUUUUUCCCCAGGUCUCCACGCCCUUGUGUGUUUCUUUUGCUUAAAGAUUGUCACCUGAGCUAGGCACUGUUGCCUGCUUCCU
ensembl:lncRNA